AGGGGCAGGACGGGCGUUUGCGCAGGACGGUGUCGCCGGUCCGGGCUCGAACUUCGAACUGAAGUUAGCGAAUCCCGGAAAUGACGUCACACCAUUGUCUCCAGCCCCAUGGUAACUGACGCUGUAUCCGACGCGGGAAGCCGAAUAUGAAGGAUAUAGGGGCAGGACGGGUGUUUGCGCAGGACGGUGUCGCCGGUCCGGGCUCGAACUUCGAACUGAAGUUAGCGAAUCCCGGAAAUGACGUCACACCAUUGUCUCCAGCCCCAUGGUAACUGACGCUGUAUCCGACGCGGGAAGCCGAAUAUGAAGGAUAUAGGGGCAGGACGGGUGUUUGCGCAGGACGGUGUCGCCGGUCCGGGCUCGAACUUCGAACUGAAGUUAGCGAAUCCCGGAAAUGACGUCACACCAUUGUCUCCAGCCCCAUGGUAACUGACGCUGUAUCCGACGCGGGAAGCCGAAUAUGAAGGA